ACACGACUCUCGGCAACGGAUAUCUAGGCUCUCGCAUCGAUGAAGAACGUAGCAAACUGCGAUACUUGGUGUGAAUUGCAGAAUCCCGUGAACCAUCGAGUCUUUGAACGCAAGUUGCGCCCGAAGCCAUUAGGCCUAGGGCACGUCUGCCUGGGCGUCACG
rnacentral:rRNA from 1 species